CCGCGUCCGUGGCCGUGACGAGUGGAGUCUCCGAGCCGGCCGAGUCUCUGUGCGGCAGUUCCUGCAUGUGUGGUGCGUGGGAGCUGCGUCUCCACAGGCUACAAAGCCGGUCACUUCCAGGUUGUUAGCAGCGUGCAUGUAGCUAGGGAUUAGCUAGGUAGUUAGUGCAUGGGUUAGUGGCCGAUCUGGCCGGCUGGACUGUGCGUGCCUCUGCGUAUUAAAGUGGCCACGGUGCUAGUGUGUAGGUGCGCCAGAGAAGAGAGAUGUAGCCUCUCGGAGUGUAUGUGUGCUCGUCGUGGGGUGGUGUGUGUGCCUCGAGUUCGUGCUCGAGGGAAGUGAAAGCUGUUCGUGCGGCUGCGGCGUUCGUGCGCCGGAAAAUCUUCCGUGUGUCCACUGUCUUCUUUCUUCCUCCUUCUUCUUCUUCAUUGUGGCAUAGUGAGAGCGAGAGGGAGGUGCAGAGAGAGAGCGAGAGGCAGGCCGCGGCAGCAACAGUUCCUACGCCAGCUUAGCAACUACUGCCUGCUGGGACGAUUAAUCUUUCUACUCGUGUCUUGGUAUACACGAUUUUCUUUCUUCGUCAGCAGUUCGUCUAUCUCUCGCACUGAUGGAUUUUAGAGUGGCCAGGUCGAUUUUGCACAAUUGAACCUUUUUUCUCUGCCUUAUCUUCCAGGUAUAUAUUUAUGUGCUGCUUUAUGCCGAUGGGGAUUUCCUUAUCUUAGAAAAGUGUAAUGUAGGCAAAUAGUUCUGGGGGAUUACAAGGUCAACUGCUCAAUUCAUAUGGAUACGGUUCAGCAUCUACAGUGAAAUCACAAGGGAGGAGGGGCAUCAAGGUAGGCGACAUAGUUGCUGCUGAGAGACCAUAUAACUCCAACUCUGUGCUAAAUCUGCAGUUCUGCAUGGACGUUCGGGGCAAGAAUGAGAACUGCCGCUAUAGCCAUCCCUCACUAUCCUACAGCACAAUUGUGGAGAAUCACCUCAGUUUAAUUUUUCUCACCAUGCUUCACUUCCAUUCAGUGUAGUGGAUUCUAGCUAUUUGAGAGAGAAACAUGACAUUCGGCAGAUCUUUGAUUCUUCGUAAAUGGAAGGUGUCAUACAAGUAUGCUUCAUGAAGAAGUACGAUAUAGAUUUGUUUAAUCAGACCUACUUCUAUCAAUGCAAAAUUGUUACAUGACCUACUGGGACAAGAUAUUUUGGUAUCUGGAUAUUGGAUUUCUAUUUUCCUGCAAAGCUACAACCUAUGGCGAUGAAGGAACUAAAACAUGUAGUUGCUAAAAUAAUGCAGUCACCUUUGUUCUUUUUUUCUAGAUAUAUGGAUAUUGGAUUUACAGUUUGCUGUAGAGGUAUAAGCUAGCGCUUGCCUCGGUUUUUAUUAGGGUGCCUGUAUCUGAGAUUGCGACGUUAGACAACAUGAAAUUAAUUUCUAGGAUAUUGGU